GACGAACGCUGGCGGCGUGCUUAACACAUGCAAGUCGAGCGGAAAGGCCCUGCUUUUGUGCGGUGCUCGAGUGGCGAACGGGUGAGUGACACGCGAGUAGCCUGCCCCUGACUUUGGGAUAACAUCAGGAAACAGCGGCUAAUACCGCCUAGGAGCUCUUGCUGCAUGGUGGGGGUUGGAAAGCUUCGGCGGUUGGGGAUGGACUCGCGGCUUAGGCGCUUGUUGGUGGAGUAGUGGCUUACCAAGGCUUUGACGGGUAGCCGGCAUGAGAGGGUGCCCGGCCACAUUGGGACUGGGAUACGGCCCAGAGUCCGACGGGAGGCAGCAUUGGGGAGUAUUGCACAAUGGGCGGAAGACUGAAGCAGCAACGCCGCGGACGGGAUGACGGCUUUAGGGUUGUGAACCGCUGUCGACUGUGCUGAACAGUGAGUGACGGUAAUGGGUAAAGAAGCACCGGCUAACUACGUG
rnacentral:rRNA from 1 species